UUUUUUUUUACAAAAACAAUUUUAUUUCACACAUUUUUUUACAAAUAUCCACAGGUAUAUCCAAUGCAUAGAAUUCUUUAACAUUACUAAUUAAUAUAAAAUGAAUUGCCAACACAGAAGUAAAUGUGAUGUAGUUAGAACACCGAUCACUGUGUGUGCUGAGUCUGGGCGUGCAGUGCUUUGCAAACAGCGGUGGCACAGAAACAGGUGUGUUUAAUGUAAUAGUCAGGUAUUGCAAAACACAUCAUAAUAUUUUUGAACAUUUACAUUAUUUUAGGUAUGAUACAAAAUAAGAUUUAAGACAUUUAAACUCUUCUGAUAUUUGCAUAUUUGCUGACAUAAUCAGUAGUAACACUACCUUCAAUAGUAAAAUAUAAUAAUAUUUAUAUAUAUAUAUUCUUUUGCAUUCAAUCAUUGUGUCUUUAAACAUACCUAUAAAGAAGUGAAUG